CCUGAGUACGACGGAGCACGUGAAAUUCCGUCGGAAUCUGGGAGGACCAUCUCCUAAGGCUAAAUACUCUCUAGUGACCGAUAGUGAACCAGUACCGUGAGGGAAAGGUGAAAAGUACCCCGGAAGGGGAGUGAAAGAGAACUUGAAACCGUGUGCUUACAAGUAGUCAGAGCCCGUUAAUGGGUGAUGGCGUGCCUUUUGUAGAAUGAACCGGCGAGUUACGAUCUGAUGCAAGGUUAAGCAGAAAAUGUGGAGCCGUAGCGAAAGCGAGUCUGAAUAGGGCGAAUGAGUAUUUGGUCGUAGACCCGAAACCAGGUGAUCUACCCUUGGUCAGGUUGAAGUUCAGGUAACACUGAAUGGAGGACCGAACCGACUUACGUUGAAAAGUGAGCGGAUGAACUGAGGGUAGCGGAGAAAUUCCAAUCGAACUUGGAGAUAGCUGGUUCUCUCCGAAAUAGCUUUAGGGCUAGCCUCAAGUGAUGAUUAUUGGAGGUAGAGCACUGUUUGGACGAGGGGCCCCUCUCGGGUUACCGAAUUCAGACAAACUCCGAAUGCCAAAUAAUUUAACUUGGGAGUCAGAAUGUGGGUGAUAAGGUCCAUAUUCGAAAGGGAAACAGCCCAGACCACCAGCUAAGGUCCCAAAAUAUAUGUUAAGUGGAAAAGGAUGUGGCGUUGCCCAGACAACUAGGAUGUUGGCUUA
rnacentral:rRNA from 1 species